rnacentral:rRNA from 1 species
GACGAACGCUGGCGGCGUGCUUAACACAUGCAAGUCGAACGAAGUGGCGAACGGGUGAGUAACGCGUAAUCAACCUGCCCUUCAGAGGGGGACAACAGUUGAAAACGACUACUAAUACCGCAUACGUAAGGAGGGGAUUGCGUGUGAGUAGCUAGUUGGUGGGGUAACGGCCCACCAAGGCGAUGAUCAGUAGCGGGUCGGAGAGGAUGAUCGGCCACAUUGGGACUGAGACACGGCCAGACUCCUACCGGAGGGAGCAGUGGGGAAACUUCCGCCAUGGACGGAAGUCUGACUGAGCAACUCCGCGUGAGUGAUGGCGGGCUUCGGGUUGUAAAGCUCUGUUAAUCGGGACGCGGUACCGGAAUAGAAAGCCACGGCUAACUACGUGCCAGCAGCCGCGGUAAUUC